rnacentral:rRNA from 1 species
AGCAUAAUCACUUGCCCUCUAAAUAAGGACUAGUAUCAACGGCAUCACGAGGGUCCCACUGUCUCCUUUUUCCAAUCAGUGAAACUAAUCUCCCCGUGAAGAAGCGGGGAUAGAUCUAUAAGACGAGAAGACCCCAUGGAGCUUCAAACCAGCUACAACCCUAC